rnacentral:rRNA from 1 species
GAUGAACGCUGGCGGCGUGCCUAAUACAUGCAAGUCGAGCGAACAGACGAGGAGCUUGCUCCUCUGACGUUAGCGGCGGACGGGUGAGUAACACGUGGAUAACCUACCUAUAAGACUGGGAUAACUUCGGGAAACCGGAGCUAAUACCGGAUAAUAUAUUGAACCGCAUGGUUCAAUAGUGAAAGACGGUUUUGCUGUCACUUAUAGAUGGAUCCGCGCCGCAUUAGCUAGUUGGUAAGGUAACGGCUUACCAAGGCAACGAUGCGUAGCCGACCUGAGAGGGUGCUCGGCCACACUGGAACUGAGACACGGUCCAGACUCCUACGGGAGGCAGCAGUAGGGAAUCUUCCGCAAUGGGCGAAAGCCUGACGGAGCAACGCCGCGUGAGUGAUGAAGGUCUUCGGAUCGUAAAACUCUGUUAUUAGGGAAGAACAAAUGUGUAAGUAACUAUGCACGUCUGGACGGUACCUAAUCAGAAAGCCACGGCUAACUACGU